CUACGGGUUGCUCCAGUGAGGAAUAUUGCACAAUGGGGGGAACCCUGAUGCAGCAACGCCGCGUGGAGGAUGACGCAUUUCGGUGUGUAAACUCCUUUUAUAUGUCAAGAAAAUGACGGUAGCAUAUGAAUAAGCACCGGCUAACUCCGUGCCAGCAGCCGCGGUAAUACGGAGGGUGCAAGCGUUACUCGGAAUCACUGGGCGUAAAGGACGCGUAGGCGGGUUGGAAAGUCAGGUGUGAAAUCCUACAGCUUAACUGUAGAACUGCACUUGAAACUUCUAAUAUAGAGUAUGGGAGGGGGAGAUGGAAUUAGUGGUGUAGGGGUAAAAUCCGUAGAUAUCACUAGGAAUACCUAAAGCGAAGGCGAUCUCCUGGAACAUAACUGACGCUAAGGCGUGAAAGCGUGGGGAGCAAACAGGAUUAGAUACCCUAGUAGUC
rnacentral:rRNA from 1 species